ACCCUCAGUUUUAGCGAUCAAUUACACAAAUGCCACUAGUCUCGGACACGAAACAUUGGAAGGGUUUAUCAAAGGGGUUUUUCUAAAUCACACACUUCUAAUGAAUGAAUGAAUCAUCAAUCAUCAUCUCCUCCUCUCUAGCCUCUAGGUCUAAGAUCUUCGUUUCGACACUCUCUCUACGUGAAGAAAUGGGUUUAAGGAAAGCGAAACGCAAACUUAGCUCCAUCUUCCGCGUAGCGAUGAGAAACGCCGGUAAAAAACCUCCAGACGCCGCCAGUACCGCCGAAGCCGUCGCCGGAGAGUCUCCUGAGAUGGAUUUUAUCGCUCAAGGAUCGGAAUCGUGGGGUUCAUUUCCGGACAUUCUCUUGCCGCUUAAGUCUUUCAUAGAUCCAUCCUACACUGGUCAACAAGAUUCUGGUGGAACGUCACUCGCUGGUCUAGUCUCUUCUGGCUUCGGUGUUGAAUCUAGGGAAAGAACUUCUUCUUCCAAGAAGAAGACACUGGAGCUCUCAGCUUUCCUCUCUGGGAAACUCCCUCCAUCGACGAAGAAACAGCACGUGGCGCGUGGGAGGUUGCAGUUCGAGACUUUCAAGAAAAACCAGUCGCAGCUUAUGAAGAAGCUCUCCAAGGGAUGCGCUCGGAAGCUGGGCCAAGAGACUACGUUCGAGGUGUUGUUUAAAAUGGGGAAAGAAGCGGGUGAAAGAGAGUAUAACGCUAGGAUUCAGCUCUGUGUGGGAAACGCGAGGAGGAGCAAUGACGCGGAGUAUGUGCUUGAUCAAGUUGGGAAAGCUAUCGAGUAUCUGAAAGAGAUGAGGCAAGGAGGGUUCUCUAUAAAGGAAGGGACUUACGGGCCGUUUUUUAGGUACUUGGUUGAUAUGGAGAUGGUGGAGGAGUUUCAGAUUUUUAAAGAGUUCAUUAGGGAGGCAAGUCCUGAGUCUGUUGAGAAGCUUGUCUACUAUGAGAUGCUUCUUUGGAUCCAAGUUGACGACGAAGAGAAGAUCCAUGAACUUUGUAAUACAGUUGAUGAUAGUGGGGGGAUAAGUUUAUCAGUCCUACAAGAAUAUCAUUUGGUUGCACUGUGUGAGAAAGACAGAAAGGAAAAUCUUCAGAAGCUUUUAGAGAUUGUCGACAUAACAAAAGUUUCUUCACCGGAAGUGUUGAAAAGCGUAUUUGAAUACCUUGGAAAAUCGCUAUUGGAGUGUGUUGCACUGAAAUUAAUUUGGCGACUAAGAGACUCAGGUGAAGUGGAGACAGUUUCAAAUCUUAUAUUUAGCUAUGCAUCAUGCAUCCCAAACUCCACGGUAGAGGAUACCAUUUUGAAAUUUAACAAGUUGCAUGAAGAACUAGAUAUUGUGCCUUCAUCUUCAUCCUAUGAGAAGCUCGUUAAUCAUCUUUGUGGCUCGAAUGAGGUGGCCACUGCUCUUGAUGUAGUUGAAAAUAUGUGUGAAGCAGGUCUCGAAAUAUCGGCAGACAUCCUACAUUCAUUAUUAGAUGCCAUUGGUCAGAUUCUUGAGUUUGAUUUGGUACAAACAAUCCAUUCGAUAAUGGGCAACAAGUGUGUCAAGCCAAACAGCGAGACUUUCAGGAGAUCGAUAAGUUUGUGCAUAAGAAUCAAAGAUUUUGAAGGUGCAUAUAAUAUGCUUGGUAAUUUGAAGAAUUUUAAUUUGGCUCCCAACUCUAGCAUGUACAAUUCUAUUAUGGCAGGAUAUUUCCGGGAGAAAAAUGUGGACAAGGCCUUAAUGGUCCUCAAGGAAAUGAAAGAAGCUGAAGUUAAACCUGAUUCUGUGACGUUUAGCUAUUUAAUAAACUAUUGCGACCAGGAGGAGGCUAUUGCGGAGUAUUAUAAGGAGAUGAAGCAAGCAGGAGUUCAAGCCAGUAAGCAAAUUUACAUGUCCCUUAUAAAAGCAUAUGCAUCAUGCCGACAGUUUGAAAAGGCAAAACAGGUGCUCAUGGACCAAGAAGUACCGACUAAGGAUCACAAUGAGCUGAAAAGUGUUCUUAUACAUGCUCUGGCAUCAAAUGGCAAUAUAACUGAUGCCUUGAGUAUUUAUGAAGAAAUGAAGGAAGCUGGCUGCCACGUAGAUCCAAAAACUGUUAUAACUCUUAUAGAUCAUGCUGAUUCAAACGAAGAGUUGACAACGUUGGCUAAACUCGCUCAUCAGCUGCAUGAUUCUAAAUAUUUGAUAGAUGGUCUCUUCAAAAUUGUCGUGUUUGCUGUCCGCAACAAUAAGUCGAGCUAUAUUCUUGAUUUGUUGAAGGAGACGAAGAACGAUUUGUCCAAGGAUGACAUCGCUGUGGAAUAUUGGUUGGAAGAGGUGUUUAGGUCAAUAGCAGAAACAGAGCCUAGUGAUGUGAAGCUGGGGCUGGACUUGUUGAGCUUUAUGAAGGAAGAGCUAGGGUUAUGUCCUUCAAGAAAAUGUCUAGAUUUUCUUCAACAUGCUUGUGUCAAUGCCAAGGAUAAGCAGACCGCUCUACUGGUAUGGCAAGAGUACCAAUUUGCAGAACUCCCUUACAAUGUCCUCAACUAUCUAAGGAUGUAUCAGGUGCUAGUGGCUGCAGGAGAUUCAAAAAGUGCAAAAGAAAUAGAUUCCAUGAUUCCUAAUGAUGACAGAGAUGUUAGAUGUAUAAUCAAAGAAAGCCGUGUUGUAUUUACUCCAAAACCAAAAAAGAAAAUGCCAAAAAGGAAACGAUUAUCUUGCCAAGCAAAGUAGGAUCAUCAGUUACAGCCCCAAUUGAUGAAGCCGUUGCUGUAACAUGGAAGAUUACUGGACUCUGCACAAGUCCUUACAGGUGAGCGGAAAGGGUUAGGAGCAACUGGGUGAGAUAUAUUCAGCCCUGCAUUACGCAAAACCGCCUUUGCAUUGCCGCAAGCAUCUUCUGUCUUAUCAGUGAAGAAACCUGGGAUGCGCAGAUUGUUCACUGCCUCAACUGCUCCUGGCCAGCUUGAGUACCUGUCCAGGUCACAGUUCAAGGCGACAACGAUGUCUGGUGAUGCCAGAUAAGUCAGAUGGAACUUCAGGUCCAACCAUUAUGAUCUGCACGGUUCCUAUACCGUUAAGUAAGUGACUGAUCUCCGCAAAUGCUUUAAUCCAGUCGAGUUCUCGUUCUGGACCUAAGUAAUGGACAGUCACUUCUUUCCCUUUGAGCAACAGGUUCGUGGAAUGGGUGCUUAGUGUUGUUAAUAUGUGGUAAAGCGUUAAAGGGUAGGAGAGAAUAUCAGAAACAGGGCUUGAUGGUGGUAGACACCUAACAUCAUAGUAAUCUGACCAAUCUGACAAGAAAAUCAUACCCUGUGAACGCCCGUUGUUCAGAUUCUGAAUUGGUAAAUCCUGUGGAUAAUCACCGUCCUGGAGCCCUCCCCAUGAGUCAUCAUCUGAGGAAGAGACAUGUAAGAGCCCAAAAGGACGCUGAGAAUAGCAACUGCAUUGUCCUCUCCACAUUCCCUUUUUGUGGACACCCAAAGAUUCAAGCCAUACACAUGGGUUUUCAGCAUAGCACGAGAAAGUGAAGAUCUUCAUCUUGAGCUCUUCUUCUCUACCCAUCAUAGCUUCAUAGAGAUUACAAACACUCCGGUGCAUCUCUCGCCAGUGCCGUUUCUCACAGUCUGAACCACAGUAGAUGGUUGCACUGCAAUGGCUACAACAAACAGACUCAUCUCUAUGAACAGCUUUGUCACACAUUGUGCACCGUCUUAACCCCACUUCUGCACCUUGACCAACUUGCAGAUUGGUCAUGCUUGAAACUAGCUCCAGUUCAUCAUCAUCACGUGCCAUUACCGCAGUUUUGUUCCACUUCUGCUCAUAUGAUUGACCAGGCGGAUGCGAAACCGUGACAGCAACAAAAUCAUGUCCUUUAAACAUCUCUGGUGGCCACUGAACAUCAACAGUCUCUAUAAAAGGUGAAAACUUCAUCAUCCUUGGCAAUCCCCGGACUUGCUUCUCCUCUUGAAGCAGCAAAGGAUGAACCAAAGUAAGAGCUUUCAUUACCGCAAACACCAGCCUGAGCUCUUCGAGUGUCGGGCUUCUGAACUGGAGCUCACCGGAGGUCAUGCACCGAGCAACGUCGAUAACCGGAAACCGGUCAGUUCCAGAAACUUCUAAAGACAAAGACUUGACCAUUCUCCUGUUACAAGGAAGCAUCAUUGACUCAAGCUCAUACGUAACUCUAAAAACAUCAACAUUAGGAACUCUAACCAUUUCCCAUGAAUCAUCAUCAGUCAUCUUCAGUGCAUAGCUCAUUGAUCUAUACAUGUAGAUUGCUAUAUCACCACCAUCCCCUCCUAUGAACUGAACACACUGGAAAGGCUGUCUCUUUCCUGACCAAUCAGAGUCUUUUCCAACCCGAACACUGAACAAGUGACCUGGUCUGAGCCUCCUCCAUGGCUCACUUCUGUAUAAAGAAGCUGAAGCUCUGAAAAUGGAAUGGAUGACGUUGGGAGAUAUACCUUCAACUUUCAUGAGGCAAACACCUGAUCCAGGUCCAAGACCAGGGCCUGACCCGAACUGAUCCUGGAAUCUACCAAAUAAGCUCUUCAAAUGCAAAUCCAUUCUUCUAACUUUAACUUUCGUCCCAAAAGAGAAGUCAGAUCUGAGUGAAGAAGGAGCUCUGUUCAAUAGAGUUGUUCAGUUUCUAAAAGCAAAGCAGAGAAAAACAAAAAUUUCAGAUGAAUUUGAAUUCUAGAAGAUGGCAAACUAUGGUCUUGAGCAGUUAAAACGGUCAUGCCUCAACCGACAAAACAAAAGUAAAAAGCAGUAUCUAUGCAUAUUUAAUUUUCUUAAGAUAAGAGGUGUUAUACCAUAGAUGUCAUACAAUAAAGAGUAAUACUUCAUAAUUGACAUCUGAUGCUACGUCAUCAAAAUUCUUUUCAGAGAACUAUUACUUUAGCCGACAAUUAUAUUUGCACCAUCCCAUGUUGUUUUACAAAGAUUUAUUUGAUGCUAAAUGUUUUAUGUUAA